rnacentral:rRNA from 1 species
GACGAACGCUGGCGGCGUGCCUAACACAUGCAAGUCGAGCGAUGAAACCCUUCGGGGUGGAUUAGCGGCGGACGGGUGAGUAACACGUGGGUAACCUGCCUCAAAGAGGGGGAUAGCCUCCCGAAAGGGAGAUUAAUACCGCAUAACAUUGGUUUUUCGCAUGAAGAACCAAUUAAAGGAGCAAUCCGCUUUGAGAUGGACCCGCGGCGCAUUAGCUAGUUGGUGAGGUAACGGCUCACCAAGGCGACGAUGCGUAGCCGACCUGAGAGGGUGAUCGGCCACAUUGGAACUGAGACGCGGUCCAGACUCCUACGGGAGGCAGCAGUGGGGAAUAUUGCACAAUGGGCGAAAGCCUGAUGCAGCAACGCCGCGUGAGUGAUGAAGGCCUUCGGGUUGUAAAGCUCUGUCUUUGGGGACGAUAAUGACGGUACCCAAGGAGGAAGCCACGGCUAACUACGUGCCAGCCGCCGCCGUAAUAC